ACAGUUCUUUGGUGCGUGAUGCUCAGAGAGUGGAUAAUUAGCUAAAUGAAUUAAUUGACAUUCAUACUUGUAAUUAGCAACCGGUUACAAGCAGCUAUUCUCCUUGGGACGGCUAAAAUUUCUCGGGGAUUGGUGUUAAAACACUGGAAAAUCGUUCGGGGUAAAUAACGAGGGCCGUGAGCGCUGAUGGCGCCCGGCUUCUGCCCGGGCUGUGAGAGCGGCAUCGCGGUAAACAAGCCCGUGCAAAAGCGGAGCAGGCUGAGGAACGUGUUGGAUAUGCCGCUGCCGCUCGGGAGGAGGAGAACUUUCCAGCUUCGGGAGAAAUGCGGGCCAGAUGGGCGGCCUCCAGCCGGCGGCUCCCACCCGCUCCCGGCUAACCCUUUCCACCCCCUCUUCCCGGGGAGUUCGCAGCCAGGCCCCGGCAGCGCAGGCUGCUCAGGCAAAGCAAUGGAAAUUGGAUGUCGUGAUGUUCAAGCAGAAUAUUCCCAGUGAACUGACAAGCACAGGCUUUCUUCCCGGCAAUGGACACCCUAAAGAAGAUGAGCAGAAGCUGCCAGGCCGUGAUGGACCAACAGUUCAAGGAAGGGGCCAGGAGAAGGGAAGCUGCUCUGGGAGGUCAGGAAAGGCCAGCUAACCACUAAAACUUGGGAGCAUUUUGAUAUCCUGACGAGCCCUGGUGGCAGGGGUUUGAGGGCUCCUUUCUGCUCCCGGGAAGUCAGGGAUGGGUGCAGGGAUGUGGCCAGCCCAGGCCAGAAGCAAUAAAGCGCCAGGAGUGAUGCAGCAAAACAGGAUGGAGUCGCGUGUCGAAAUAAAUCAUCCAUGGAGGCAAGGCAGGGAGGAGGAGGAGGUUUGCUGCUCUCAAGCCUCCCUAUGUCUAACAAAGCCUCAGAAACCCCAGGUGGGCAGCAGGAGCCGGGGCUGGAUCCAGCCAGCCGUGGCCCCAGCUGUCCCAGAGCAGAGCCGGUCCUGGCCAGGCGUCCCACUGCUCCAGCUCUCCCGGGAGCUGGUUUUCCCAUCCCUUCCCAGCUCCCACAGCUUCACCUUGUGGCAGGCAAUGCACAGAGCUGCCAGGAGUGAUAAAAUGGCUGUCCCCCAAAUUUAUGGAGUUUAUCUGUGAAUAACUCUUGGAGGUGAAGCGGCCGUUGAGCUGGGGAGGAGGAAGGCUUUGCUUCGGGAAAAGCUCUCCCAGGGGCCGUGCAGGGCAGGCAGGAGCCCAGAGCCAGUUCCAGGGGCCAGCAGAGACGUGCCCCGUGCCCCCACCUUGUAGGGCUGGGACAUGGCCGGGGUGAGCUCGCCGCUCGCCCACGCUGGGGGAAGCCGAAGGCUCGUUUCCCAUCUGCAGCGUGUUUAUUAGGAGCUAAGUCAUGAAGAGGCUUUGGCACAUCUCCGUGGCUCCCGCCGAGCGUGUUUAGCACAGCAGAGAUCGCUGCUUCUUCCAGCAGCACGUGCAUGCCCGGGAUUUCCAUGCCGGCCAGGCGUUGUGCCCCAUGCUCUCUCUCUUACCAUGCCAAUCUUUUCUUCUCCCCCACAAAAAAAAGGUUGUAUCAAUGAGCUAUGGAGCAGCAUCCUGGUUCCUGGGGAAGCACAGCUGAGGCUGAGCAGGCUGGAGCCUCCCCCUCAUACCCCCUCCCCACUCUGCUGCAGUAACAUCCAUCCUAAGUUUCUGAGCCUCUUCUAAUUUUGGAGGCCGUUAGCAAAGCAGGCACUGUUGCAGCCAAACGAGGCUGCCAAUGUUUCCUUUAAAAGCUGCUUUCACUCCGAAGGACUCUUCUAGAUGGUUUGCUUUUAAUAGCAGGCUGCAGGGUGCAACGCCCAGCUCGUGGCCAGGGCUCUCUUUGGAGCGGGAAGGGACUGGAUGGCAUUGGGAGCAGGACUGGGGAUGUGCAGGGAGCCACACACAUCCAUCGUGGGCCACGGCAGUGCACUCGUGCAUCCCUUUCCUGGUUCAGACCAGCAAAGAUCUUCACCCCCUUGCAGAGCUGAUCCCACUGCAGCCCAUUUCCUCUUUUUUCCCUCGCCAGCUUGUGGGGAAAUCUUUAUAGCAGAGGGGGACAGAUACAGCUCCUAACCAUGGUGAUAUCUCAGAGGAGAAGGAGAGGCCAGAGGAGCCAUGGAGAAGCAGGAGGCAGUGAGGUCAGCGCACUGGUAGGUGUGAGUGCUUUGCAGAACCCAAUUGCUGCUUCAGUAUAACCAGAUUCAGGAAAAUGAAGCUGAAGUGUGAAAAAUGAAAGUGAAAAGAUAGGAACCAACCCACGGCUAUUUAUUCUAAAAAUACUGACCUAAAUACUUAAGCUCACAUAUAAAA